GAUAAAAGAGGGGAAGCAGAUGUGGUAGAAAGGAGGGGGAGAUCGGAAAGAGGAAUAACAGGUAGAAAAGGGACCGCAGGCGGUUGGAUAAGUUAGAUGGGAAAGCCCCGGGCUAAACCUGGGAAUGGAAUUUAAAACGGGCCAGCUAGAGUGUUGAAGAGGGGGGUAGAAGUCCAGGUGUAGCGGUGAAAUGCGUAGAGAUCUGGAGGAAUACCGGUGGCGAAGGCGGCCCCCUGGACAAAGACUGACGCUCAGGUGCGAAAGCGUGGGGAGCAAACAGGAUUAGAUACCCUAGUAGUC
rnacentral:rRNA from 1 species